rnacentral:rRNA from 1 species
AGAGUUUGAUCCUGGCUCAGGAUGAACGCUGGCGGCGUGCUUAACACAUGCAAGUCGAACGGAACACCCUAGAAGGAGUUUUCGGACAACUGAUAGGACUGUUUAGUGGCGGACGGGUGAGUAACGCGUGAGUAACCUGCCUUGGAGUGGGGAAUAACAGCUGGAAACAGCUGCUAAUACCGCAUAAUAUAUCUGGGUCGCAUGGCUCUGGAUAUCAAAGAUUUAUCGCUCUGAGAUGGACUCGCGUCUGAUUAGCUGGUUGGCGGGGUAACGGCCCACCAAGGCGACGAUCAGUAGCCGGACUGAGAGGUUGGCCGGCCACAUUGGGACUGAGACACGGCCCAGGCUCCUACGGGAGGCAGCAGUGGGGAAUAUUGGGCAAUGGGCGCAAGCCUGACCCAGCAACGCCGCGUGAAGGAAGAAGGCUUUCGGGUUGUAAACUUCUUUUCUCAGGGACGAAGCAAGUGACGGUACCUGAGGAAUAAGCCACGGCUAACUA